rnacentral:rRNA from 1 species
GACGAACGCUGGCGGCGUGCCUAACACAUGCAAGUCGAGCGGGGAACGGAUGGUAGCUUGCUACUGUUUGUUUCUAGCGGCGGACGGGUGAGUAACGCGUGAGCAACCUGCCUUUAUCAGGGGGAUAACGCAUCGAAAGAUGUGCUAAUACCGCGUAAGACCACAGCUUCACAUGGAGCGGGGGUCAAAGGAGCAAUCCGGAUAAAGAUGGGCUCGCGUCCGAUUAGCUAGUUGGUGAGAUAACAGCCCACCAAGGCGACGAUCGGUAGCCGACCUGAGAGGGUGAUCGGCCACAUUGGAACCGAGAGACGGUCCAGACUCCUACGGGAGGCAGCAGUGGGGAAUAUUGGGCAAUGGGCGAAAGCCUGACCCAGCAACGCCGCGUGAGGGAAGAAGGGUUUCGGCUCGUAAA